AUGAAGAACGCAGCGAAAUGCGAUAAGUAAUGUGAAUUGCAGAAUUCAGUGAAUCAUCGAAUCUUUGAACGCACAUUGCGCCCGCCAGUAUUCUGGCGGGCAUGCCUGUUCGAGCGUCAUUUCAACCAUCAAGCCCUGCUUGCGUUGGGGUCCUGCGGCUGCCCGCAGGCCCUGAAAACCAGUGGCGGGCUCGCUAGUCACACCGAGCGCAGUAAUACAUCUCGCUUUGGGCGUGCGGCGGGUUCUUGCCGUUAAACACCCCCUUUUUACCAAGGUUGACCUCGGAUCAGGUAGGAAUACCCGCUGAACUUAAGCAUAUUAAUAAGCGGAGGA
rnacentral:misc_RNA from 1 species